rnacentral:rRNA from 1 species
GAUGAACGCUAGCUACAGGCUUAACACAUGCAAGUCGAGGGGCAGCAUUUCAGUUUGCUUGCAAACUGGAGAUGGCGACCGGCGCACGGGUGAGUAACACGUAUCCAACCUGCCGAUAACUCGGGGAUAGCCUUUCGAAAGAAAGAUUAAUACCCGAUGGUAUAAUCAGACCGCAUGGUCUUGUUAUUAAAGAAUUUCGGUUAUCGAUGGGGAUGCGUUCCAUUAGGCAGUUGGUGAGGUAACGGCUCACCAAACCUUCGAUGGAUAGGGGUUCUGAGAGGAAGGUCCCCCACAUUGGAACUGAGACACGGUCCAAACUCCUACGGGAGGCAGCAGUGAGGAAUAUUGGUCAAUGGGCGCAGGCCUGAACCAGCCAAGUAGCGUGAAGGAUGACUGCCCUAUGGGUUGUAAACUUCUUUUAUAUGGGAAUAAAGUUUUCCACGUGUGGAAUUUUGUAUGUACCAUAUGAAUAAGGAUCGGCUAACUCCGUGCCAGCAGCCGCGGUAAUACGGAGGAUCCGAGCGUUAUCCGGAUUUAUUGGGUUUAAAGGGAGCGUAGGUGGACAGUUAAGUCAGUUGUGAAAGUUUGCGGCUCAACCGUAAAAUUGCAGUUGAUACUGGCUGUCUUGAGUACAGUAGAGGUGGGCGGAAUUCGUGGUGUAGCGGUGAAAUGCUUAGAAAUCACGAAGAACUCCGAUUGCGAAGGCAGCUCACUGGACUGCAACUGACACUGAUGCUCGAAAGUGUGGGUAUCAAACAGGAUUAGAUACCCUGGUAGUCCACACAGUAAACGAUGAAUACUCGCUGUUUGCGAUAUACAGUAAGCGGCCAAGCGAAAGCAUUAAGUAUUCCACCUGGGGAGUACGCCGGCAACGGUGAAACUCAAAGGAAUUGACGGGGGCCCGCACAAGCGGAGGAACAUGUGGUUUAAUUCGAUGAUACGCGAGGAACCUUACCCGGGCUUAAAUUGCAUUUGAAUAUAUUGGAAACAGUAUAGCCGUAAGGCAAAUGUGAAGGUGCUGCAUGGUUGUCGUCAGCUCGUGCCGUGAGGUGUCGGCUUAAGUGCCAUAACGAGCGCAACCCUUAUCUUUAGUUACUAACAGGUCAUGCUGAGGACUCUAGAGAGACUGCCGUCGUAAGAUGUGAGGAAGGUGGGGAUGACGUCAAAUCAGCACGGCCCUUACGUCCGGGGCUACACACGUGUUACAAUGGGGGGUACAGAAGGCAGCUACCUGGUGACAGGAUGCUAAUCCCAAAAGCCUCUCUCAGUUCGGAUCGAAGUCUGCAACCCGACUUCGUGAAGCUGGAUUCGCUAGUAAUCGCGCAUCAGCCAUGGCGCGGUGAAUACGUCCCCGGGCCU